CCAAAAAGAUGGAGAAGGGUCCAGCUGCAGGCUUGGGCGUUCCCGUCAUGACACAAAAACGCCCAUCGGGCGUUCCCGUCAUGACACAAAAACGCCCAUCAGGCGUUCCUGUAGCGUUUCAAUCAAUCAAGAAGAGGUGAGUGAGUUUCGCAAGGUAUGCUACCCUUCCUUUUUUGGCGGUUUUACCUCGUAGUAACUUUCCAGAAAAACGAAAGGGUUAUGAUGAGAGAUUAUGUCAUACCCUGGCACAUGCUUUGUCCAAUGGACCAUGGAAGGGACUUUACUUGGCUGACGAGGACGCACCUCACCAGUAUCAGAGCAACAGCUGUGGGGUGUUUAUGCUGAUGGUGAGAUGCAUUAUUUUCAGAAAUGAUGACUGAUGACUAGUUUGUAAAAAACAAUUUCAGUACGCAAUG